ensembl:lncRNA
GGGGGGACAGCGGAGGAGGGGGACCUAAGCAGGCUUCAGGCACCCACUUGGCUGCAGUCACCCCCAAGAUUGAAUCAGGAUAGCAAUCCAGCUAUGGCCUCUCUCAUUAGGCAGACAGGGGUCCUGGGAUGGACAGAUCAGGCCUCUCUCACUGGGCAGACAGGGGUCCUGGGAUGGACAGAUCAGGCCUCUCUCACUGGGCAGACAGGGGUCCUGGGAUGGACAGCUCAGGCCUCUCUCAUUAGGCAGACAGGGGUCCUGGGGUGGACAGCUCAGGCCUCUCUCAUUAGGCAGAUAGGGAUCCUGGGAUGGAUAGUUCAGGCCUCUCUCAUUAGGCAGACAGGGGUCCUGGGAUGGACAGCUCAGGCCUCUCUCAUUAGGCAGACAGGGGUCCUGGGAUGAACACUGGGUCACUGGGUCACUGGCUUACUGGGGCUCUCUCAUGCCGUCCCUGGAGGGGGUGCGUCACCUGAGUGGGUUGAUUCACUGUUGUGGUCAUCCUGUCUGGGUUGGUGCCCCCCCCUUGGGUUGUGCCGUGGCGGAGAUCUUUGUGGGCUAUACUCAGCCUUGUCUCAGGAUGGUAAGUUGGUGGUUGAAGAUAUCCCUCUAGUGGUGUGGGGGCUGUGCUUUGGCAAAGUGGGUGGGGUUAUAUCCUUCCUGUUUGGCCCUGUCCGGGGGUGACCUCGGAUGGGGCCACAGUGUCUCCUGACCCCUCCUGUCUCAGCCUCCAGUAUUUAUGCUGCAGUAGUUUAUGUGUCGGGGGCUGGGGUCAGUUUGUUAUAUCUGGAGUACUUCUCCUGUCCUAUUCGGUGUCCUGUGUGAAUCUAAGUGUGCGUUCUCUAAUUCUCUCCUUCUCUCUUUCUUUCUCUCUCUCGGAG